AAAUGAAUCUGUCUCAGCCUCAGUUGUACAAUGAGAGACUUCUUUAAUGGCAGGAAGUUGGCUGUUCCCAUAUUCUUCACCCAGACAAAAGUUCUGGCCACUGCUAGAUGAGAAAAUAGCGACAGCAUUUUCUAAAGAGCCAGGGAAAUAAAAUCACAGAAGGAAGUGUUCUAAAGCCCUUCAAUACAGCAAACUGUGUCGGCAAAGCAAAGAUUACAUCACCUCCAGAAACAAGGAAACAGCUCUGUGAAGAUCUGGCUACCCAAAGGAAUUUACUCUGCAGUGUGCUGUUUCAAUGCAAUGACAUCACAGACACCGGCAGGGUUCCUACCCAGCAUGAGAUAGACACAGCUCCCAGCAUCAUCUGGCACCCAGCAAGUUCACCUCUGGAACUUCCUCAAGCUCUUUCUGGAAGUGACACAGAGCUGCUCAGUGCCCCGGCACUCAGGUUCAGUUUGGACAAGGAUUUUGGAUGUCCGCAUAGAAGAGCUGUUUGAACACAGGGGUUUAGUUUGGUGUUUUACUAAAUAAACUUUGCAUU
rnacentral:lncRNA from 1 species